rnacentral:misc_RNA from 1 species
GGAUGAAGAACGUAGCGAAAUGCGAUACUUGGUGUGAAUUGCAGAAUCCCGUGAACCAUCGAGUCUUUGAACGCAAGUUGCGCCCGAAGCCAUCAGGUUGAGGGCACGUCUGCCUGGGCGUCACAUAUCGUUGCCCAAUGCCUAUUGCAGUGCAAUAGGAAUUUCUAGGGCGAAUGAUGGCUUCCCGUGAGCGUUGUUGCCUCGCGGUUGGUUGAAAAUCGAGUCCUUGGUAGGGUGUGCCAUGGUAGAUGGUGGUCGAGUUAGAACGAUACCGAUCAUGUGCAUGCUCCCCAAAAUAUGGCCUCUAUGACCCACACGCGUCUUUUGACGCUCAUGACGAGACCUCAGGUCAGGCGGGGCUACCCGCUGAAUUUAAGCAUAUCAAUAAGCGGAGGA